rnacentral:rRNA from 1 species
UUCUGGGAGGAUUGAAAGAUUGAGAGCUCUUUCGUGAUUCGGUGGAUGGUGGUGUAUGUCCGUUCUUAACUGGUGGAGCGAUUUGUCUGGUUAAUUCCGAUAACGAACGAGACUCUAGCCUAUUAAAAAGGUGCGUGGUUCUCUGCACCUUGCACCCUUGGGACAAGUGGCUCCUAGCCGCACGAAACAGAGCAAUAACAGGUUUGUGAUGCCCUUAGAU